AUUGAACGCUGGCGGCAGGCCUAACACAUGCAAGUCGAGCGGAGCGGCGGACGGGUGAGUAAUGCCUAGGAAGCGGCCUGGUAGUGGGGGAUAACGUCCGGAAACGGGCGCUAAUACCGCACACUAUCUAAUGAGCGUAGGUCGGAGUAGCUAGUUGGUGGGGUAAAGGCCCUCCAAGGCGACGAUCCGUAACUGGUCUGAGAGGAUGAUCAGUCAGACUGGGACUGAGACACGGUCCAGACUCCGACGGGAGGCAGCAGUGGGGAAUAUUGAACAAGGGGCGAAAGCCUGAUCCAGCCAUGCCGCGUGUAUGAAGAAGGUCUUCGGAUUGUAAAGUACUUUCAGUUGGGAGGCGUUACCAACAGAAUGAGCACAGGCUAACUUCGUGCCAGCAGCCGCGGUAAUUC
rnacentral:rRNA from 1 species